CAAGUGCUCCUGCAUGCCACGUCGUACCUCCUCUGUGAAUAAGCACACUUAAAGCAUGGCCAUGUGACUACUCUUAGAUAAGCUGAUUGGCUGGAGAUCAUGUGGACAGUACUGAAGUAUAAUAGUAUAUUCAUGACCCCUUACACCUCAAACUUCCUGGUAUGAUGUCAUAAGCCUGAUCACUAGAGCUAUAUAGAGUUCAUGAACUAUUGACACUAUAGUAAUUCAACUGUACACAGAGAGUUUCCAAAUGUCUACUCCUUUACAAAAGCUACCAGAGCACUACAGAGAUGUGGCACAAGACUAUGACCACUACUAUCAGUACAUCUACAAGCUCUUUCUAAACGCACUGAAAGCAAAUGUUAAAAUACGAGAGAAUGACGCAGUUUUGGACUUGGGUUGUGGAACGGGCAUGCUGUCACAUAUGAUAUGGAAAACAAUGGAAUUGAAAAAAUCUAUUGUUUGUGUUGAACCAUCAGAAGAUAUGAUAAGGGCAGCCAACGGUAAAGAAGGCUUGACAACAGAGACAGCAACUGCUGAAGAAUACAUUGCAACAAACCAGCAACAAGUAUUCAAUGUGAUUCUCAUAACUAACUGUUUUCAUCAUUUUCAAAAGCAAUCCGCCGUGCUUUCAGGAAUAGCAAAGAUUCUUGCUAAAGAUGGCUGUGCAGUCAUUACAACGCACCGUUCACAGCUACCUAUGAUCAGAGCAGCUGAAGCUUAUCUUCAGAACAGAGUCGAUAGUACAGAGCCUACAUUGAAGCUCAUUGAAGAGGCUGGUCUCAAAGGAGAAGUGAAGCUUGUUGAUGAACGCUACAAUAUUGACAAGAGCUUUUGGUACGAGUUCAUGCGAAGAAAGAUGUACAGCUUUUAUAGAGAGUUUACUGACAAAGAGAUUGAGGAUGGUAUUAUGGAGUUAGAAGAAAAGUAUGGAGAUGUAGAUCAAAUCGAGAUAACUUCCAUCGUCCGGCUUAUUAUCAUAACUCAGUAAAUUUAGCAGCCUGGAAUCGAGGCUAAUACGAAUAUACAGUGUGCAGGAGUAGAUAAGAAUGUGUGUGUUUUUAGAAUCUAGAAUCUAUAAAUAAGAUGAUGUUUCAUUACCACAGCUACAUAAAAGCUGAUCUUUUGUGCAAACAUACUUAUUACCUCAGUACAAUACUGCCUAUACAAUGA